rnacentral:rRNA from 1 species
GCGGGGUCACGCCCCGGGUGCGUCGCAGCCCCGGAACCAGGCGCCCGCCGGAGGGACCAACCAAACUCUUUACUGUAGUCCCCUCGCGGACGUUAUUUCUUACAGCUCUGAGCAAAAAAUUCAAAAUGAAUCAAAACUUUCAACAACGGAUCUCUUGGUUCUGGCAUCGAUGAAGAACGCAGCGAAAUGCGAUAAGUAAUGUGAAUUGCAGAAUUCAGUGAAUCAUCGAAUCUUUGAACGCACAUUGCGCCCGCCAGUAUUCUGGCGGGCAUGCCUGUCCGAGCGUCAUUUCAACCCUCGAACCCCUCCGGGGGGUCGGCGUUGGGGAUCGGGAACCCCUCAGACGGGAUCCCGGCCCCGAAAUACAGUGGCGGUCUCGCCGCAGCCUCUCCUGCGCAGUAGUUUGCACAACUCGCACCGGGAGCGCGGCGCGUCCACGUCCGUAAAACACCCAACUUUCUGAAAUGUUGACCUCGGAUCAGGUAGGAAUACCCGCUGAACUUAAGCAUAUCAAUAAGCGGAGGAA